UACAGAGGUCUCAAGCGUUGUUCGGAUUCAUUGGGCGUAAAGGGUGCGUGGGCGGCGCGGUAAGUCGGGUGUGAAAUCUCGGAGCUUAACUCCGAAACUGCAUUCGAUACUGCCGUGCUUGAGGACUGGAGAGGAGACUGGAAUUUACGGUGUAGCGGUGAAAUGCGUAGAUAUCGUAAGGAAGACCAGUGGCGAAGGCGGUUCUCUGGGCCUUACCUGACGCUGAGGAGCGAAAGCGUGGGGAGCGAACAGG
rnacentral:rRNA from 1 species